CUUAGCAACUCUAGACAUAGAAUCAGAAAACAUGAAAUAUAACGUGAGGAUUGACUUUGUAAUAAUGCUAUUGCUGGACAGUUUUGAAGUUGCACAUAUGCAGAUUUGUCAAGGACUGAACGGAACGAUGUGUUGUUUCGGUUACGAGUGGGAUCAGAACCAAUCAAUGUGUAUACCUUGUAAAAAGGGAUAUCAUGGUAAGAAUUGUGACGCCAAAUGCCCACCCCUAUUUUUUGGAUUAGGAUGUCAGUCGCAAUGCAACUGUUCCGACAAAGACUGUGAUUACAUCAGCGGAUGUAGGCAAUUAA